GCCCUGCUCUCUGGUCUUCCCAAAAAGAGCAUGCAUAAUUUACAAUUACCAUAUUACACCUGUUUUAAAAUCGCUGCAUUGACUAUUUUGCAGAAAAGAUUUUGCAGGGAGAGGCAAUCGACAUCAGUACGUCAGAGGAGGCAGUGGAGAAAUUGAGGCUCAACAUAGCCACUUGCCUCCUCGAAGAAUCUGAUGAACUAAGCAGCCUGUGCUUUUACUGUGGAGUGGAGGACCAGGACGAAGAUGAAGCACAAUGGAUUUGCUGUGACAGCUGCCAGAGGUGGUACCAUCACGGAUGUGUGAACAGACCCUCCAUGGAUGAGGAAUUCUUGUGCCUUGGAUGCACAUAAGUUUUUUGUUUUUUCUGCUGUAUCUUUUUUUGUUGUUGUUUUUUUAUCACUUUUUCCACGUUGAUGUGAGAUUGAAAUUCUAAUUUAAACAGUAUUUAAUUUAUUAUUUACUCAUUAUUUAUUUUAUUGUUAAGACACUGUUCAAAAAAUGUUGCUUAUUG
ensembl:lncRNA